ACCAGAAUUGUCUGGAAGGUGGGCUCCCUUAGGUAUUCUUCUUCUCCUCCCCAUUAGAGAGCCUGGCUCCUCUUCCUUUUUGUUUGCACUUCACCUUCUCUAUGCUCCUUGGAUGGAAAGGGCUCUUGAGAUCCACAUCAUCCCUUCCUGACGUGGGCUGAGGAAAGAUUGCUUUCAUUUGUAACCAGCAUCUUUAGGUCUCUCCAGCAGCACUUUUCCACACUCUGCUGUGCAGUGUGAUCAUGGCUGUGCUGGAGAUCAAACUCAGGGCAUUGAGCAAUCUGAC